UACGUAGGGGGCAAGCGUUGUCCGGAUUUAUUGGGCGUAAAGAGCGUGUAGGCGGCCAAACAGGUCAGCUGUGAAAACUCGAGGCUCAACCUCGAGACGUCGGUUGAAACCGUUUGGCUAGAGUCCGGAAGAGGAGAGUGGAAUUCCCGGUGUAGCGGUGAAAUGACGCAGAUAUCGGGAAGAACACCCGUGGCGAAGGCGGCUCUCUGGGACGGUACUGACGCUGAGACGCGAAAGCGUGGGGAGCGAACGAGG
rnacentral:rRNA from 1 species